rnacentral:ncRNA from 1 species
CGAUUGAGGCGCGGCCGACAUAAGUAUGGUUCAGGAGAAGGCGAAUCCUUCUGUGAAAGGGCUGGAAAGGGGAUGGCCGCCGAAGAGGAUGCCAGAUUCGCGGGUGUCUGUCUGGACGGGCACGAGAACAUCUGUCCGGCUGUCACCGGUUCGCCCGUGAUGCGCUAUCG